UACGUAGGGCGCAAGCGUUGUCCGGAAUUAUUGGGCGUAAAGAGCUCGUAGGUGGCUUGUCACGUCGGGUGUGAAAGCCCGGGGCUUAACCCCGGGUCUGCAUUCGAUACGGGCUGGCUAGAGUGUGGUAGGGGAGAUCGGAAUUCCUGGUGUAGCGGUGAAAUGCGCAGAUAUCAGGAGGAACACCGAUGGCGAAGGCAGGUCUCUGGGCCACUACUGACGCUGAGAAGCGAAAGCAUGGGGAGCGAACAGG
rnacentral:rRNA from 1 species